UGGUGGAGCGAUUUGUCUGGUUAAUUCCGAUAACGAACGAGACUCUGGCCUAUUAAAUAGUUCGCCGAUUCCGAUCUGUCGGCGUUAACUUCUUAGAGGGACAAGUGGCUUUAGCCACGCGAGAUUGAGCAAUAACA
rnacentral:rRNA from 1 species